CCCAGCUUAGUCUAAAAUAAAUACAUCUCAAGCAGAGGAACCACUGACAGGCUCUGCUGCCCAUGAUGGGCCUCAGGUCAGGUCAACAAUCCCUGGACCAUACGGGGCUGUCAGAGUCCAGGAAAGCCAGGGAGCCAGGAGGCCUGGAUUCUGGUCCUGCCGCUGCCUGUGAGCACUCCAGCAAGAAGUCUCAUCUCUGUGAGGACACACAAAGACAUCCAGCCUGCGGUGUGGGGUAUCAAGGAAUGAAUCUACAAUGAAUUGCCAACUGGCUAACCAAGUCCAUUAUGGUGACACCAUUCCCUCGGUUCUAACUUCCUGACUGCCGCCAUGUGUCCGCUGCCCUCCUCUGCUUUCAGAUCAUCGCACUGACAAACUCAAGACGCUGAAUCUGGGUUGUUUACCAAAACUGAGUACAAGUUAUAUCCUCAGGCUCGCUUCUCAACUUCCCUCCCUCAGGAGCAGCCACACCACAAGACAUUGUGUAGCUUACAGACCAUUUUCAAUAAAUUCUCCUUACGAAUCAUUUUGCCUGAUUCUUCUGGAAGCCUCAGCUGCCACAGACAGUUCUUUUAUUGUU